AACGAACGCUGGCGGCAGGCCUAACACAUGCAAGUCGAGCGGGCGUAGCAAUACGUCAGCGGCGGACGGGUGAGUAACACGUGGGAAUAUGCCUUUCGGUUUGGAACAACUCGGGGAAACCCGUGCUAAUUCCGGAUACGCCCUUAGGGGGAAAGGAUUUAUCGCCGAAAGAUUAGCCCGCGUCCGAUUAGCUAGUUGGUGAGGUAAACGGCCCACCAAGGCGACGAUCGGUAGCUGGUUUGAGAGAACGACCAGCCACACUGGGACUGAGACACGGCCCAGACUCCUACGGGAGGCAGCAGUGGGGAAUCUUGGACAAUGGAGGAAACUCUGAUCCAGCCAUGCCGCGUGAGUGAUGAAGGCCUU
rnacentral:rRNA from 1 species